rnacentral:rRNA from 1 species
AUUGAACGCUGGCGGCAUGCCUUACACAUGCAAGUCGAACGGUAACAGGUCUUCGGAUGCUGACGAGUGGCGAACGGGUGAGUAAUACAUCGGAACGUGCCCGAUCGUGGGGGAUAACGAAGCGAAAGCUUUGCUAAUACCGCAUAAGAUCCACGGAUGAAAGCAGGGGACCGCAAGGCCUUGGGCGAACGGAGCGGCCGAUGGCAGAUUAGGUAGUUGGUGGGAUAAAAGCUUACCAAGCCGACGAUCUGUAGCUGGUCUGAGAGGACGACCAGCCACACUGGGACUGAGACACGGCCCAGACUCCUACGGGAGGCAGCAGUGGGGAAUUUUGGACAAUGGGCGAAAGCCUGAUCCAGCCAUGCCGCGUGCAGGAUGAAGGCCUUCGGGUUGUAAACUGCUUUUGUACGGAACGAAAAGACUCUUUCUAAUAAAGAGGGUCCAUGACGGUACCGUAAGAAUAAGCACCGGCUAACUACGUGCCAGCAGCCGCCGUAA